rnacentral:lncRNA from 1 species
UUUUUGUGGGUGCUUGUACAUCAAGAGUGAAGCUGAGAAAUCAUAGUAUAAGCUUGAAUAAAAAUUAAUUGAGACCAAUAGUUCUGUUACAAAAAAAUUGUACAAUAAUACAUGGGUUAAUUACUUAUUCAUAUACAAAGCAACAUAUACUUACACACUUACAAAGCAACAUAUACUUCCAUUAUCCUUCUCGAUAUACUUACAACGAAAAAGAAUUAAAAAUUUGAACACACUUAAUCCAACGAAAAGUAANAAAUUAAUCAGAGCUUCAUUUAAAUUUGCAUGACUCAUAACGGAUCUCUUCCCUCAAAAUUGAUUAAACAAAAAUAAUUAUAUUAUUUCUUCCCUAAAAACAGCGUGAAUGAGAAUUGAGAACAACUCUCGUAUACAUGGAUAUCCCAAGAUAAGUUAGAAAAGAAAGAUUUGUACAUGAAUGUAUANN